AGUGGACGCUGGCGGUAGGCCUAACACAUGCGAGUCGAACGGCAGCACAGUAAGAGCUUGCUCUUACGGGUGGCGAGUGGCGGACGGGUGAGGAAUACAUCGGAAUCUACUUUUUCGUGGGGGAUAACGUAGGGAAACUUACGCUAAUACCGCAUACGACCUACGGGUGAAAGCAGGGGAUCUUCGGACCUUGCGCGAUUGAAUGAGCCGAUGUCGGAUUAGCUAGUUGGCGGGGUAAAGGCCCACCAAGGCGACGAUCCGUAGCUGGUCUGAGAGGAUGAUCAGCCACACUGAAACUGAGACACGGUCCAGACUCCUACGGGAGGCAGCAGUGGGGAAUAUUGGACAAUGGGCGCAAGCCUGAUCCAGCCAUACCGCGUGGGUGAAGAAGGCCUUCGGGUUGUAAAGCCCUUUUGUUGGGAAAGAAAAGCAGCAGGUUAAUACCCCGCUGUUCUGACGGUACCCAAAGAAUAAGCACCGGCUAACUUCGUG
rnacentral:rRNA from 1 species